rnacentral:rRNA from 1 species
AGCGGCGAACGGGUGAGUAACACGUGGGCAACCUGCCCUUCAGUUAGGAAUAACCCCGCGAAAGCGGGGCUAAUACCAAAUGAAGUUCCGGCAUCCAAAGGGGCGCUGAAGGAUGGGCCUGCGGCUGAUUAGCUAGUUGGUGGGGUAACGGCCUACCAAGGCAACGAUCAGUAGCCGACCUGAGAGGGUGACCGGCCACACUGGGACUGAGACACGGCCCAGACUCCUACGGGAGGCAGCAGUGGGGAAUAUUGCGCAAUGGGCGAAAGCCUGACGCAGCGACGCCGCGUGGGUGAUGAAGGCCUUCGGGUCGUAAAACCCUGUCGGGUGGAACGAAUGACGGUACCACCGAAGGAAGCCCCGGCUAACUACGUGCCAGCAGCCGCGGUAAUAC